rnacentral:rRNA from 1 species
CAAUAGCGUAUAUUAAAGUUGUUGCGGUUAAAAAGCUCGUAGUUGGAGUUCUGCCAGGUGCCGCCUGUCCGCCCCAGUGGUGAGUACGUGGCGCGCAUUUGGCCCUUUCAAGGGGAGCGUAUCUGCACUUUAUUGUGUGGUGCGGGAUCCUUGACUUUUACUUUGAGGAAAUAGGAGUGUUCCAAGCAGGCUCUCGUCGUGCACAGCUCAGCAUGGAAUAAUAGCAUUGGACCUCGAUUCUAAGCUGUUGGUUGCCAGAAGCGAGGUAAUGAUGAAGAGGGAUAGUUGGGGGCAUUCGUAUUUAACUGUCAGAGGUGAAAUUCUGGGAUUUGUUAAAGACGGACUACUGCGAAAGCAUCUGCCAUGGAUGUUUUCAUUGA